rnacentral:tRNA from 1 species
GGGGUUGUAGCCUAGUGGUUCGAGCGUCGGACUCACGACUUCAAGGUCGGGAGUUCGAUUCUCUCUCUACUCCG